CCUCGGGAGGCAGCAGUAGGGAAUUUUCCGCAAUGGGCGAAAGCCUGACGGAGCAAUACCGCGNUGAGGGAAGACUGCCUAUGGGUUGUAAACCUCUUUUUUCAGGGAGGAAUUUUGACGUGUACCUGAAGAAUAAGCAUCGGCUAACUCCGUGCCAGCAGCCGCGGUAAGACGGAGGAUGCAAGUGUUAUCCGGAAUCACUGGGCGUAAAGCGUCUGUAGGUGGUUAAACAAGUCAACUGUUAAAUCUUGAAGCUCAACUUCAAAAUCGCAGUCGAAACUGUUUGACUAGAGUAUAGUAGGGGUAAAGGGAAUUUCCAGUGGAGCGGUGAAAUGCGUAGAUAUUGGAAAGAACACCGAUGGCGAAGGCACUUUACUGGGCUAUUACUGACACUCAGAGACGAAAGCUAGGGUAGCAAAUGGGAUUAGAUACCCCAGUAGUCCUAGCCGUAAACAAUGGAUACUAGAUGUUGAACAGAUCGACCUGUGCAGUAUCAAAGCUAACGCGUUAAGUAUCCCGCCUGGGAAGUAUGCUCGCAAGAGUGAAACUCAAAGGAAUUGACGG
rnacentral:rRNA from 1 species